AGCUAAUAGAUACCCAGGUAGUCCUGACAGUAAACGGUGCACGCUUGGUGUGGGAAGUGACCCUUUCCGUGCCGAAAGCUAAACGCGAUAAGCGUGCCGCCUGGGAAGUACGAUCGCAAGAUUAAAACUCAAAGAAAUUGACGGGGACCCGCACAAGCGGUGGAGUAUGUGGCUUAAUUCGAUGCAACGCGAAGAACCUUACCUGGCCUUGACAUGCAUUGUGUCGUUGGUGAAAGCCAGCUAGUGUAGCAAUACACGCUUUGCACAGGUGCUGCAUGGCUGUCGUCAGCUCGUGUCGUGAGAUGUUGGGUUAAAGUCCCGCAACGAGCGCAACCCCUGUAGUCCGUUGCCACCGGUUUUACCGAGCACUUGGACUAGACUGCCCAGAUCAACUGGGAGGAAGGUGGGGAUGACGUCAAGUCCGUAUGGCCCUUACGGCCAGGGCUGCACACGUACUACAAUGCCCAGCACAAAGUGAACCGAGACCGCGAGGUGGAGGAAAUCGAGAAAGCUGGGCUCAGUU
rnacentral:rRNA from 1 species